CCUAAUCUAGGUGGUUUUUAUUGUAAUUGAUUAUUCCAAUGUGAAGAGCUAUGAAGCAGUCUAAGAGAAGGUAAUACUCCUGGAACAGCCCACUCACCACUAGGAUCCUUGUCGGACUUCGAGGGACCCUCCCCCAUCAAGUCUCAUGUCAAGUGUUCUGAUGGAAAAUCCUGCUUCCUCAGUGUUGCUUAGAAAUUACAACAAGCUUGAAUCUGAAGAAUCUGUCUCCAGAAACAUAAUUGGACCAUGCAAUGAAGAGAAAAAAGAGAAAAAGGAUGACAGAGGAAAUGGCAUGAUCUACAGAUCUUUGUUUACAAGAACA